UGUAAUCAUAAUUAUUUAUAAUUGUAUAUGUGUGUGUGUUGACAGGUGUCGGUUGGCCUCCUAGCCGGGUGUGCAAAUGUAGGCUGAUUUCUGUUUUUGUUUAUUUGUAGAGGUAAUACGUCCAGAGUGUACUGGCAGAGGUGUAUGGCCAGCAUUGCACCGGUUAAGCAUGUGUGGGAGUUUGAUAUGGAGCGCCAAGGUGCUGAAUGUUACUCAAUAAAGUAUUCAUGUGGCA